rnacentral:rRNA from 1 species
AGCGAACGCUGGCGGCAGGCUUAACACAUGCAAGUCGAGCGGGCACUUCGGUGUCAGCGGCAGACGGGUGAGUAACACGUGGGAACGUACCCUUUGGUUCGGAAUAACGCUGGGAAACUAGCGCUAAUACCGGAUACGCCCUUUUGGGGAAAGGCUUGCUGCCGAAGGAUCGGCCCGCGUCUGAUUAGCUAGUUGGUGGGGUAAUGGCCUACCAAGGCGACGAUCAGUAGCUGGUCUGAGAGGAUGAUCAGCCACACUGGGACUGAGACACGGCCCAGACUCCUACGGGAGGCAGCAGUGGGGAAUAUUGGACGAGGGGCGCAAGCCUGAUCCAGCCAUGCCGCGUGAGUGAUGAAGGCCUUAGGGUUGUAAAGCUCUUUUGUCCGGGACGAUAAUGACGGUACCGGAAGAAUAAGCCCCGGCUAACUUCGUG